rnacentral:rRNA from 1 species
CCAUCUAGUAGCUGGUUUUCUCCAAAGUUUCCCCCAGGAUAGCUGGCGCUCAUNCGNUUCGCGAGUCUCAUCCGGUAAAGCGAAUGAUUAGAGGCAUUGGGGUCGAAACGGCCUCAAUCUAUUCUCAAACUUUAAAUUGGUGAGAUCUCCGGUUUGCUCAAACNACUCGUNNNNNUGAAGCCGCGAGAUUUCGGAUCANNGAGUGACAAGUGGGCCACUUUUGGUAAGCAGAACUGGCGCUGUNGGAUGAACCAAACGCCGAGU